rnacentral:lncRNA from 1 species
ACUUCUGUCCAAACAGAAUACAUAAAAAAUUUCCGGAAACAUCGUGGACAUCAACGAAGACUAAGGCCCAGCAUUUCAAGCUUGCCUCCACAGGAUUUUCUCUCUACAUCUUAUGAUGAUGAAAACCGAGAUCAUCGAGGUAAAGAGUGUGUGGUAUGUUUGGAUGCUGUAAGAGACUCAACCCUUCUCCCCUGCUUUCAUGUUUGCGUGUGUACCAAAUGUGCAAAUAUGCUGAAGAAGAAAGAAAGUUAUUGUCCAGUGUGCCGGGAAGAAAUAAAAAAGAUUGGUCCUCACUAUUACCCAUAAAUGUUUGUAUUGGUUUUCACAUAUUCACUAAUUGGUGACUAAAAGAAUAAUAAAUGACUUUGGAAGAUACCUUAAAAAGGCCUUACUUAAGAUUACAUAAAGACUAGUCAAUAUCAUAAUGUUCAUAUUGAAAGUUCUGUAAAACUUAUCUCCAAAGUGGUUGUAGCAGUAGCAACAGUUCAUCUUAACUUUUUGUCAGUUUUGUUUUUGAACUCAUUUUUUGUGUAUGUCUUCUUGACUAUAGUAUACAUAUCAUUUGAAAGGCUUUAACAGUGGUUUAAAUAUCAAAGACAUACAUUUAUAUAAUUUUACAGAUUUGUUGAAAAGAAAGUGAUUUAUUGAAUUUUGUAAUCAGUGAAAAAUCUGAAAAAUUUACUUAAUUAGAAAUUAUCUUAAAAGAGACAUGUUUAAACAGCUUUUGCAAUUGUCCUAUAAAAACAACAACAUUGGUCAUGAUUUUCUAAGCCCAAAAUUAAAAAUAUAUUGAUUUUGGGCUAUAAAUGUCACCACCACUUUUUCUAAUGUCAGAGUUUUAAAGCAAUAUUCUUCUUAGUAGUCAGAAAGUUGUACUGACAUUAGCAUUAUAUUUGUGACUAAUGGCCCAUGAAAAAUAGUAUAUGGUACACAAUGUAUUACAAUUUUUCUGCUGUGCUGAUGAAAAUAACUUCUUUUCAUGGGGGUAUAAGAGAGAGUUUUUACUAAAAUUUAAUAAUGUUGGACGAUUUGCCAGUGACAAUCUCCUCAAACAUAAAAAAAAAACAAUCUUUAGAUGGCUGGUACUAUUGAAACAUGAGUGAUUUGAUUUUGAUCAUAGACCAUACCUUUAUAAAAGAUGAGAAGAAAUUAUAAUUUGUUUUUUAGAGCAAAUAUUUUUUAACUAUAUUUUCCAAGGACAGAAAUAUUUCAUUCUAAUCUUACAACUCGAGAAUUCUUUCUCAACUUUGUAUAUGAUUUUCUUUUUUGUUAUUGAAAUGCACUUAAAGUACUUAAGAAAAGCAUUCCUUAUCUCAAAAUAUAUCGAAGCAAUGUUUUUGUAUUUGACUGUCAUCCUGAAUUUAUGUUCACAAAGUUUUAUAUUGUGUUUGAAACAUAUGUUUCAGGCUAUACAAUUUCUAGAUAACUUGAAAUUCACUCUUAUCAUGAUGUUAUGAUGAGUUAAAACUUGAGAGUAGGUUUCAGGGGAUAGGUCUUGUGAUGUAACUGUACCUUAUUACUCUGUAAGUAUAAAGUAUGUUACUGAGAUUUUUUUGUGUGUAUUUGAUUAAGUAAGAGAGAAUUAAUUUUUAUUUUGUCACGUGCUUAGUAUGUAGGUUGAACCAUAGCAAAUUUCACUCUCAAUAAAGGAAAAUGAUAUUACAA